AAGCUUUAGUAAUAGAGCAACACAAAUCAGUUGUGUCAGCAGCCUUGUCUUGUUGAUGAUGUUGUUUGGAGUGUGCGGGACCAAAUGUUGAAUGAUUGAGACUAUAAAAAGCAAUCUUACUGUGAAAUUUGAGUGAAAUCAAAACAGUGGGGAGCGUGAAAUCUUCUUGUAAUGUUAAAGUAAAUGCAUGUUACAGUACA
rnacentral:lncRNA from 1 species